CCUACGGGAGGCUGCAGUUGGGAAUAUUGCACAAUGGGGGAAACCCUGAUGCAGCGACGCCGCGUGAGCGAUGAAGUAUUUCGGUAUGUAAAGCUCUAUCAGCAGGGAAGAAAAUGACGGUACCUGUCUAAGAAGCCCCGGCUAACUACGUGCCAGCAGCCGCGGUAAUACGUAGGGGGCAAGCGUUAUCCGGAUUUACUGGGUGGAAAGGGAGCGUAGACGGUCCUGCAAGCCAGAUGUGAAAGCCCGGGGCUCAACCCCGGGACUGCAUUUGGAACUGUAAGGCUAGAGUGUCGGAGAGGCAGGCGGAAUUCCUAGUGUAGCGGUGAAAUGCGUAGAUAUUAGGAGGAACACCAGUGGCGAAGGCGGCCUGCUGGACGAUGACUGACGUUGAGGCUCGAAAGCGUGGGGAGCAAACAGGAUUAGAUACCCGUGUAGUC
rnacentral:rRNA from 1 species